rnacentral:rRNA from 1 species
UACGAGUGCCCCAAGCGUUAUCCGGAAUUAUUGGGCGUAAAGGGUGUGUAGGCGGUUGUGUUAGUCUUCUGUUAAAUUCUUCGGCUUAACCGGGGGCAUGCAGGGGAAACGGCACAACUAGAGGAUGCGAGAGGUGAAUGGAACUCAUGGAGUAGGGGUGAAAUCCGUUGAUAUCAUGGGGAACACCGAAGGCGAAGGCAAUUCACUGGCGCACUCCUGACGCUGAAACACGAAAGCGUAGGUAGCGAAUGGG